GGAUGUGAGGGCGAUCUGGCUGCGACAUGUCACCCCAUUGAUCGCCAGGGUUGAUUUGACUGAUUUGGCUGGCUAGGCGGGUGUUGUCUUCCUCCCGCAAUGCUCCAUGUGCGUCCCUCCCGAAGCUAUGCGCUCUGUUGAAGAGUAUGACCUUCCCCAAAGAGGAGGACCCGUCUCCAGUUAGGGUAUCUGAGUAGCUGCACUCCCCUGCGAGAACCUCCAAACAAGCUCUCAAGACAUCCUUAAUUUACCUGCAUUGCUUGCAUAAAUUUCAGCAUUUAGCAUGUGAUUUCAUUUUUAUCUAAGAAAAUCUUACCCACUUGAUAUGUGUUAGGUUUUACUU
rnacentral:snRNA from 1 species